GUGACGAAGGUUUAUAGAUCUACAAUUUUGUAAUAGUGCGGCAUAUCAAUAUCAAAUAGUUAGUUACGAUACCAUCGAUAUCUCGCAUUUGACAAGUGUUAACAACAACUGGUAUAUGUUAUAAGAUGUACUCAAAAUUCCUGUCUUCAUUAUUGAGGAGUAUUACUUUUAGGAGUUGUGGAAGUUUUGUUGCCCCACCGAACUGUCGACUUCCUGCUCGACCUGAGAAAAAAUACUUACACGAUGUUUGAGCAACCUAAGGGUGCUGCGCUUAAGGAUAAGCAGCACAAGCAUAAUCACAUCAAAGGCUGAAUGAAAGUGCAAUAUUACUUUUAUCAAUAUAACUGUCUGAAUAACAUUAUAUUUCUGCGCAAAUGUGCAGAAUCCAUCAGAAGCAUGAUCAAAGACACGCCCAUUAAGACAGAGAGUCGCAAAAUAAAACGCUGUGUUGGGGAAAAAAAUCCAUUGAAAAUUGCAUAUUUUUGAUUCCUUUAAACGGAAAUUAACCUUAACAAAAAUAUGAUCUUAAAAAUGUUGAUGAAAUCUUUAAACUCAGGAGCUUAAACGGCGUAAAAAUUAAUUUGUUGUUGACUGCGCGGUUAAAGACUGGACCUCAUCUUCCUGGAUUUACUAUCAUAGACCAACACGGAUUCUAGCACCUUCGUCCUGACGGCUGUUCACAUUUGGAAAGUGAAGAGGAAAGUCAAACAAUUUACCCUAUUUAUAUUGAGAAUUCAAUUACCUUCAAAUUUUGCGGCUCUUUGUCAUAAUGGGCGAGUCCUUGAUCCUGCUUAAAAUUUUGCAUUUGACGCAAAAAUAUAAUGUUAUUCAGACAGUUAUAUUUGUAAAAGUAAUAUUGUGUUUUUAUUCUGCCUUUGGUAUAAUUACAUAUGUUUGUGCUGCUUAUCCUUAAGGGCAGCACCCUUAAGUUGCUCAUCGAUAGAAUUCGGGGAAAAUGGAAAAGCAAAGUCCCAAUGCGAAAAAAUCUGAAGUGAAACGAUACAACUGAGAAAAGUUGAUGCCAAUAGAUUGCAGCUUUUCUGUAUAUUAUAGCUUUAUCUUUAUAAUAUAAAAUAAUACCAAUGGUGACAAAAUGUUCCUUAAUUUACCUUAAAUUUGGUCAGAACAGUAGUUUUGUUAUAAACACUUAUAAAACUAAUGUAACGUAAUACUUAAGUUACAAAUGUAAAAAUAUUGAAUCUUCUAUAAAAAGAAUUAAAUUACACACAUUUAUAAAAUCAAGAACAGUUUUUUUUAGCUGAAUACCCUUAUACUAAGUUUCAGGACGUUUCUAAAAUAAGCAAUUAAUAAUAUUUUUCAGAAUUUAACACUCAGUUGUAGUCAAAUUAAUAAUUUCCUCCCUCAUAAGUUUUAUAUAAUAUCUGUAAGUAGGUUUCCCAAAAUUUGCAGACU